GACGAACGCUGGCGGCGUGCUUAACACAUGCAAGUCGAAGGGAAAGGCCCUGCAUUUGUGGGUUGCUCGAGUGGCGAACGGGCGCGUAACACGUGAGUAACUUGCCCUUGACUUUGGGAUAACUUCAGGAAACUGGGGCAAAUAGCGGAUAGGAGCUCCUGCUGCAUGGUGGGGGUUGGAAAGUUUCGGCGGUUGGGGAUGGACUCGCGGCUUAUCAGCUUGUUGGUGGGGUUGUGGCUUACCAAGGCUUUGACGGGUAGCCGGCCUGAGAGGGUGACCGGCCACAUUGGGACUGAGAUACGGCCCGGACUCCUGCGGGAGGCAGGAGUGGGGAAUAUUGCACAAUGGGCGGAAGCCGGAUGCAGCAACGCCGCGUGCGGGAUUACGGCCUUCGGGUUGUAAGCCGCUUUCGCCGGUGACGAAGCGUGAGUGAAGGUAAUGGGUAAAGAAGCACCGGCUAACUACGUG
rnacentral:rRNA from 1 species